rnacentral:lncRNA from 1 species
UCUAUGUGUUUGCCUUAAGGCCAAAUUUCUUUUUGACGCUAGAAAAAAAUGCCAAAUUUUCUGAAGUACUACCAAGUAGACUUACCAGGGGGAAAUCAUGUUAGUGAAAAUAAGCACAUGUCUCCAAGUCCGAAAGCCAGAACUUAACAGGGCAAUGAUAAAGGAAAUCAGAGGGUCACCGAAGUCUUACAAGUGGAAGAGAAUGGAAAAGAAAAAUGCAAAUGUGUUCAGUAUUAUUCUACAACUCAAAUCAUAAAAGAGAUGGUAUGAUGAGGCAAAAAGAAGCUCAAGAAAAUGGCAUAAAAUGGUCAUCUAUGAACUUUUAGAUUUUGCCCUCUCAGUAUUUCAGUUUCUUUAUCUAAAGUGAGUAUGGAACUGUGAAGGCAAAUAUAAUGAGUUGUAAGGAAGAUAAUCAGUCUCUCCCUUUCUCUCUCUCCCUUUCCUUGUUUUUCAAUUAAAAUGAAAAUCUUGGUGAAAUGCAAGAACUGCUUAUACUGGAUUAAAG